rnacentral:rRNA from 1 species
GACGUAGGGCGCGAGCGUUGUCCGGAUUUAUUGGGCGUAAAGAGCUCGUAGGCGGCUUGUCGCGUCGACUGUGAAAACCCGCGGCUCAACCGCGGGCCUGCAGCCGAUACGGGCAGGCUAGAGUUCGGUAGGGGAGACUGGAAUUCCCGGUGUAGCGGUGGAAUGCGUAGAGAUCGGGAAGAACAUCGGUGGCGAAGGCGGCCUGCUGGGCUGUUGCUGACACUGAGGCGCGACAGCGUGGGGAGCAAACAGG